rnacentral:rRNA from 1 species
GAUGAACGCUGGCGGCGUGCUUAACACAUGCAAGUCGAACGGAAAGGCCCAAGCUUGCUUGGGUACUCGAGUGGCGAACGGGUGAGUAACACGUGGGUGAUCUGCCCUGCACUUCGGGAUAAGCCUGGGAAACUGGGUCUAAUACCGGAUAGGACCACAUUUUGGAUGGUGUGGUGGAAAGUUUUUCGGUGUGGGAUGAGCUCGCGGCCUAUCAGCUUGUUGGUGGGGUAAUGGCCUACCAAGGCGUCGACGGGUAGCCGGCCUGAGAGGGUGUAAGGCCACAUUGGGACUGAGAUACGGCCCAGACUCCUACGGGAGGCAGCAGUGGGGAAUAUUGCACAAUGGGCGCAAGCCUGAUGCAGCGACGCCGCGUGGGGGAUGACGGCCUUCGGGUUGUAAACUCCUUUCGCUAGGGACGAAGCGUUAUGUGACGGUACCUGGAGAAGAAGCACCGGCUAACUACGUG